AUAUAUAUAGUUAUAAUAACAAAAACAUUUUAUUCCAAAUAAAAAAUUAUUGGUUAGAAUCCAAUUAUAGAGA
rnacentral:tRNA from 2 species